rnacentral:rRNA from 1 species
AUGGGAUUUGAGGUGGAUUUCCUAGGAGAGCGAGUAGGAAGGGUGAUGGUGGGGUUCAUGGGGAAGGUGAAGAAGCAGAAGGUGAUCCACGGCCCGCACGCGACGCCGAGCCACCACGGGCCUCCUCCCCUGCCGCUCGCCGCCAUGCCGGGACGGCGUACUGGGCCUUGCCGGAAGCCGAGGACAAGCGAGACAAUGGCCAUCCACCCUGGGCCAAGGACAAGCACAGAGCGACCAGCGGAGAUAACUAUGCUCGGGCAGAUGGAUCCCGCCGCGGCGGAGUUCGAGGAGAACAGUAGCUGUGAUGACUCAACAAGAUGGAAGUGCGGGACAAGGGAUGAGUGCAAUCGGCUCAGGUAA